AGUGAACGCUGGCGGUAGGCCUAACACAUGCAAGUCGAACGGCAGCACAGUAAGAGCUUGCUCUUACGGGUGGCGAGUGGCGGACGGGUGAGGAAUACAUCGGAAUCUACUUUUUCGUGGGGGAUAACGUAGGGAAACUUACGCUAAUACCGCAUACGACCUACGGGGGAAAGCAGGGGAUCUUCGGACCUUGCGCGAUAGAAUGAGCCGAUGUCGGAUUAGCUAGUUGGCGGGGUAAAGGCCCACCAAGGCGACGAUCCGUAGCUGGUUUGAGAGGAUGUUCAGCCACCCUGGAACGGAGACACGGUCCAGACUCCUACGGGGGGCACCAGUGGGGAAUAUUGGACAAUGGGCGCAAGCCUGAUCCAGCCAGACCGCGUGGGUGAAGAAGGCCUUCGGGUUGUAAAGCCCUUUUGUUGGGAAAGAAAAGCAGCAGGUUAAUACCCCGCUGUUCUGACGGUACCCAAAGAAUAAGCACCGGCUAACUUCGUG
rnacentral:rRNA from 1 species